rnacentral:rRNA from 1 species
GGGAACGUGCCUUUUGGUUCGGAAUAGCUCCUGGAAACGGGUGGUAAUGCCGAAUGUGCCCUUCGGGGGAAAGAUUUAUCGCCAUUAGAGCGGCCCGCGUCUGAUUAGCUAGUUGGUGAGGUAAAGGCUUACCAAGGCUACGAUCAGUAGCUGGUCUGAGAGGAUGACCAGCCACAUUGGGACUGAGACACGGCCCAAACUCCUACGGGAGGCAGCAGUGGGGAAUCUUGCGCAAUGGGCGAAAGCCUGACGCAGCCAUGCCGCGUGAAUGAUGAAGGUCUUAGGAUUGUAAAAUUCUUUCACCGGGGACGAUAAUGACGGUACCCGGAGAAAAAGCCCCGGCUAACUUCGUGCCAGCAGCCGCGGUAAUACGAAGGGGGCUAGCGUUGCUCGGAAUUACUGGGCGUAAAGGGAGCGUAGGCGGACAUUUAAGUCAGGGGUGAAAUCCCAGAGCUCAACUCUGGAACUGCCUUUGAUACUGGAUGUCUUGAGUGUGAGAGAGGUAUGUGGAACUCCGAGUGUAGAGGUGAAAUUCGUAGAUAUUCGGAAGAACACCAGUGGCGAAGGCGACAUACUGGCUCAUUACUGACGCUGAGGCUCGAAAGCGUGGGGAGCAAACAGGAUUAGAUACCCUGGUAGU